UAUGUGAUCGUCUCUCGCAUAUCAAUAAGCGGAGGAAAAGAAACUAACAAGGAUUCCCUAGUAACGGCGAGUGAAGCGGGAAGAGCUCGAAUUUGAAAUCUUAAAGGUUUUCCCUUGACGAAUUGUAGUUUAAAGAAGUGUUUUCUGUUGAAGUUUUGGUAAAAGUUCUUUGGAAUAGGACAUCAUAGAGGGUGAGAAUCCCGUAUUUGACCAUUUACUUUUCAGCUGUGUGAUACACUUUCAAAGAGUCGGAUUGUUUGGGAAUGCAGUCCAAAUGGGUGGUAAAUUUCAUCUAAAGCUAAAUAUUGGCGAGAGACCGAUAGCGAACAAGUACCGUGAGGGAAAGAUGAAAAGAACUUUGAAAAGAGAGUUAAACAGUACGUGAAAUUGUCAAAAGGGAAGCGUUUGACACCAGUGUUGUUUUCUCGAAAAUCAAUUAAAAAUGGCUCGAUUUUGUAUUGCUGAGACCUUAAAAGCUCACUGUACAUUUUUCGUGUCUUUUUUAAUGCACUUUUCGUUUAACAAGUCAACAUCAAUUUCUUUUGUUGUAAAAGGGUCAUUGGAAGGUGGCUUUCUUUUCGGAGAAAGUGUUUAUAGCCUUUGGCCUCUGCAAUCGAAGAGACUGAGGUCUGCAGCGUAGACUCUUCGGGGUUAGAUACAUUUGUGCUAAGUUAUAGCUUUUUAUAGACAACUUGUUGACUAUAAUUAGUCUUGUAGCUUACUCGCUUAUGCUAUUUUACCUACGCUUAGGAUGUUGACGAUCAGCUGAGCGCG
rnacentral:rRNA from 1 species